GGAAAAACUUUUUACCCCUAAAAUGGUACAGACCGAAACUUUUUUUGGGGGGGAGGGGGGAGGUUGUUCUCCGGUCACACAUGUGGCCUUCAGCCGUUCCUAUCCCCAUCUAAGGGACCGGUCAUUAUUUAUGGUGGGGGGUGGCACCGAAGAGAAAUGUUUUUCUUGGCAAAAAUUUUGCUGACCCAACCAUUAAAAAGACAAAAAUUUGAUUACCCAACCUCAAAUAUCAAUUAAAAAAUAAUUACCCACCCUGGCCAAAAACGUUACAAAAAGAUACCAUUCAAUUGUCACACAUGUCCUUUACCACUUCUGUGACAUGAGUUUGAUAACGGCUUGUGAACUUUUCUGCAGUCUAAAGUUUCAUGUUGUCUGCACAUGUACUUUCUUUGAAAACACCAUUUCUUUUGUCAAAAUGAUCAAGAUAGUGACUCUGAUUGAUUCAUAUAUUGUAUUGACAAAUGACUGUUGACAUUGCUUUUCAGUCAACAAUAUUUUGACAGUGAGUCACGUUUUUGAAAUGACAAUAAAUUUUUAUUACCCAAC